GACGUAGGGGGCGAGCGUUGUCCGGAGUUACUGGGCGUAAAGGGCCUGCAGGCGGUGGAGCGCGUUGCGGCUGACAGGUGGCGGCUUAACUGCCACAGGAGCAGCAAAACGGCUCUUCUUGAGGGCCUCAGAGGGACAUGGAAGUCCGGGUGGAGCGGUGAAAUGCGUAGAGAUCCGGAGGAACACCAAAGGCGAAGGCAGUGUCCUGGGAGGCACCUGACGCUGAGGGGCGAAGGCCAGGGGAGCGAACGGG
rnacentral:rRNA from 1 species